rnacentral:tRNA from 1 species
AGUUAUUGGGGUGUGUGGGCAUAUUAGAUUUUCGUUCUAAGGGUGUAGAGUGUUUCUACCUAUAAUU